rnacentral:rRNA from 1 species
AUGAGUGUAUUCAAAGUUCCUCUUGGACUCUGUGAAGAUCUGAAUCGCAUGGUUAGGAAUUACUAUUGGGGAGCGGAGAAAGGUAAAAGGAAAGCUCAUUGGCAUGCUUGGCAUAAGAUGAAUCAGUCAAAAUCUCAAGGAGGUCUUAGUUUAAGAGACUUUCGAAUCUUUAAUUAAGCCUUAUUGGCAAGAAAAGCUUGGCGCCUUCUAAUCCAUCCUGACAGUCUUUGUGCAAGAUUGCUAAAAGCUAAGUACUACCCUAAUGGUAGGCUCGAGGACAAUGUUUUCAUGGGUAACCCGUCCUCAACAUGGCAAUCUGUUUGUCAUGGUCUCGAGUUGUUAAAAAAUGGUUUCAUUUGGAGGAUAGCUAAUGGACUGAAGGUCAGGAUUUGGCAUGACCGUUGGCUAGUCCGGGGCACCGCGGGUUCCAUGCUUUCAAGCAAAGGAAGAUGCCGCUACAAAUGGGUGUCUGCACUUCUCGAUCAUAAUGGCAGCCGAGAUGUGUCGCGGUUAUAUCAAUAUGUCCUGUCGGUGGACGUUCAGACUAUUUGCAAGAUACAGUCUUCACCUCACCUUGAUAAGGAGUUUUUGCCCUGGACUCCGGAAAGGAAUGGGGUACUUACAGUGCGGAGUGCCUACUAGCUAGCAACGGAUGAGGUUCUGAGUACUUUAGUUGCAUCCACUAGUGGUUCACCCGAUGGUUGUAGAGAUGUUUGGAAACUUAUCUGGUCAAGUCCGGCACCACCGAAGGUUCUCUGCUUUGCUUGGCGCAUCGCUAUAGACUCUCUAGCCACUUGGCGAAACAAAGAACGCAGAAAAUCUGGAGGUUCGUGGUCUUUGCCGGAUCUGUAG